rnacentral:lncRNA from 1 species
CGUGACUUGUUGAUUUCCCCUGAGCAAAUAAAGUCUGCAAAGACUGCGCCGGUCCCAAUAGUGGUUAGCUGAUGAAUUGACAAAAACGAAUCAGCUUGAUUGGUAGACAGGUUAAGGGCAACAGUAAUAAUUCUAAUUUCGACCUUUUCCUCCAUUAACUUUAAGUGGCUUAUUAGACCAUAAGACAACCACCCCCAGAGCUAUAGAUAUCUAGGCCUACAUGGAACCUAUGGCACCUAAUAACGAUUAUAUGCUUCAUAUUUUGCUAAUUUAAAAAAAUAUAUAUAUAUUUCACCUUUAUUUAACCAGGUAGGCUAGUUGAGAACAAGUUCUCAUUUGCAACUGCGACCUGGCCAAGAUAAAGCAUAGCAAUUCGACACAUACAACAACACAGUUACACAUGGAAUAAACAAAACAUACAGUCAAUAAUACAGUAGAACAAAAGAAAACAAAAAGUAUAUAUAGAGUGAGUGCAAAUGAGGUAAGUUAAGGCAAUAAAUAGGCCAUGGUGGGGAAGUAAUUACAAUACAGCAAUUAAACACUGGAAUGGUAGAUGUGCAGAAGAUGAAUGUGCAAGUAGAGAUACUGGGGUGCAAAGGAGCAAGAUAAAUAAAAAAAAUACAGUAUGGGGAUGAGGUAGGUAGAUAGAUGGGCUGUUUACAGGUAGGUAGAUAGAUGGGCUGUUUACAGCUAUGUACAGGUGCAGUGAUUUGAGCCAUACAGAACUAAGGAUGCAAUUUUCGUCAAAUUUGAUAACAGUUAGUGCACUUUCAAUGUCAAAAUAUGCCUUUGAAUAUUGAAUAUCUAUGUACCGGUGUGAAUACAGGUGUGAAUACAGGUGUGAAUACAGGUGUGUAUGCAGGUGUAUGCAGAGGCAUACAUGAAGAGACCCAGGGGACAGCACGUGAGUUCAAAAGAGAUCUUCAAAUGAUGAAGCUUCCAUUGAAGAACACUCUCUGGGUUCUGUUGGAUAAAUAACUCUCCAACCAUGUGAUGGCAGGUGAUGUAAAGCAUAGCAAGUGAGUUUCUUCAUUAACAAUUUAUGAUUAAUAAUAAGGCAUAGAAAAUGAAUAGGCCUAUUAUUUGACUGUACAGGCUUCUUCCAAAAUAUUUUGGGUAAUAUGUCUGUCAUUGCUAAACUGUACAUGUAGGCUACA